GCUGACUACUUGAGAAAAACAUAUAAAUUAAUCAUAAACACAUCAUACUGUUGACUUCUCCCUGAUACUCAUUUGCCAAUCUAGUAAGAGGUUGCUUGAGACUGAACAAAAUAUCUGCAAUUAAAAUUGUCUAUACCUCAAUGAGUGUGGAUUUAGUGCCACUAGGGACAUAUGCACACUCUAUCCACACCAUUGAGGAUGCAUCGGGAUACAUGUAUCUCGGUGCGUAGUCAAUGUUGUGGAUAUGCAGUGCAUGUGGCCCUAGGGGCACCUUUGCUUUCCCAUGACUGAAUGGGUUAAGUAUCUUUAUGAUUUCAGAUAGCUGGUUGCUGGACGAACAGAACUAUGUAUAGGCUGCAGAAUAAUAUGGCAUUUUGCCCUUUUUAAUGUUGACUUACUAAUACCUUUUUGCAUAAAAGAUUCAUAAAGGAAAAAUUACUGUCAGCUGUGUUUCAGAAUAAUUUGUUAUUGGAUUCCUAUAGGCUGCAGAUACCUUUUUGGCAUCAAAGUGAUUGAGAAGUGAGUGAUGAAAGUGUCUUGUUGUCACUACGGACAGAGAAAGGUCCAAGUUCAAGCAUGGCUCCAGUUCCAAAGGAUGAACAGCCGGGCCCUGCGGAUCCAGUGAGUAUUUCAUCUUAUUCUUAGCAAACUAAGUGUCUUUCUCCUAAAGAAUGGAAACUAGGUGCUAAGCCUUAGGUAGAACGUUCUUGCUGUAGCAUUGCAAACAGAGAUGAUAUAUCAUCUAGUAUUGUGGACGUGAUCUUUUCCAGUUCCUUGGUGACUCUCAUUAUGACAAGGAAAUAGACCUAAAAAUUUUUGUAACAGCAAUUUGAGAAAAAAAAACUCUACUAACAUAUGGGGUGCUCAUGUUCAGGAAGUAAAAUGUGCUAUAAGUUUAUGGUCAACACUCAACAGAGCCAGUAACAUACCUCCAUUCAGCCAUAGGACUAGCGGUUUGUUCAAAGGAUCUUGAGGAGUCUCAACAAAGUAGUAGAACAAAGCUCUUCCAGCCUUUGCAUCCACCGUGACAUAUCCUGCAUAUUGGUCAAAUUCUACUACCUCCGUUUGCCCUGGCAUUGAUAUGAUCUUAUCCUGCUCCCGUAGAUUGUUUUUUGAGCCUCUAUGCACCGAGGGACUAGAUCUAUUCUUUAGAGUUGUAUCUUGUUUUCCUUGAACAUAUUUCCUGGAUAUUUUCAGUUGAUCAAACUCAAGAGGCUGGUUAGCCUGGUUUCUAGUGGCUGUGUUUGCAACGCUGAAGUAGAACAAGGACCAAAGUAUCAAGAGGCCUCUUUUCAUCUUGAUAGGAAGCGUGUGCAUGGGUGCUUGGUGUCUUGUGCUAGGUUGCCAUUGGUCAAUCUUUAUUUAUAGAGGGGACAUUGUAUUUGCAGUACAGUUGAAGGAGUCCUCCAAGGAAACCAUAAUAUGAUUGAUUCUUUGACUUUUCCGGCCAAGUUGGACUUAAAAAGCUCUUAAUAAUUACCUUUUGCUCAUGGCAUCCAUAUUUGUAAUGCCAAUGGUAUUCAAUUAAAAUUCUUAGUUCCUUUUUUUGUGGACUGUGACCUAACAAAAUUAGCACAAUUCCCAGAAAGGUACAACAGCUAUCUCUGGCUCAAUUAUAGUCAUUACAUGGGAAAGAAAAGGAAAAAGGUAUGCAAAUCAGAUUGAGGGUCCUUUCUAUCACAAUAUUGAUUAAGUGCACUGCGCGUAUCCUGAUCUUUGACCUUAUUUUAUUUAGUAUCAUACAUCCUCACACUCCUUUUAACAAGAUUCCAAGGCAUCUUUACUUUAGUGUGCUUUUCUGCUGUGGCCUGUAGUCUAAACCAAGGGAUUGCACUGCAUUUGUUGCUUCUUCUGAUUGACUUUUAACAAGAGUACUAUAAACUGUAAAAGUGUAUUUGAAGAGAAGACUAUUAGGUUAUUCAGUGAUCCCACAGAGCUGGGUGAAGUCGAGUUCUAGCUUAGUGCAACGGUCAUCAUCAUAGAGAAGUAUGUUGUUUCCUAGUUUCUCUGUUUCUAGAUUUGUUAUUCUGUUAAAAUGAGGCUAUACUUUUGUUGAUAAAAAGGUGUGGAAUUUAGUAACGAUUUAUGAAUUUUUGUACUCGGGUUGGUAGCAUCUGGUCAGCAACUCCAUCACUGUAUUGAUGCAUCGACAGUUGACACCUUGUCAUUUCCAUUUCAAUGAUGCAAAAUAUUGCUUUCUUCUCAUGCAUCUUCAAAAGAACAAAUCGAUCCACCUGAGUAUGGACACACAUUCCGUUUUGUUUUUUUGGUGGGUCUUUCAAGCAAGCUGCCCUUUUAUCUGAAACCUUCCUGUAGAAAAGUAGAUUCUAAACUUGAGCUGUGAGCAUAGAACAAAUAUUUUCGCCAAACUGCCAUUGACUGCUGACAAUAGCCCCUCUUCUCCAGGAAAAAGGAAACUGAAAAAUAAAGAUCUUUUAGAAAAGAAAUUGUCUCCUGGUUACUUUUUUCAUUCUUUUUUUAAAAUUUGUUUUUUUCCGUUUGUGUCCAAUUCAUAAGGUUCCUAUGCUGUCUUUGAAUAGACCAUCAGCUUAGCUUAAAUAUAUGCGGGCAUCACAUAACCAAUGUGUUGGUGUAUUUCUUUCUUUCCUUUUUUUUGUUUCCAGUUGGUGGUUAUGCACUGAAUAGGUCCACUUUGGGCUCAGAGUUGAAAAUCUAGCUGAUGGGACAGGAAGCAUCAACUUUAGAAGGGAAUCCCACUUUCUAGUAAUGCACAUAUGCUGAAUACUUCCAAGACAACACAUUGUCAAAGAAAAGUGAGCAAGAGGAAGGAAGAUGUGCACACAACAAGGCUUACAAAGGCAGCAAGGAAUCUUUCCUUCUGCUAGUACUCUGGUUCCUUACAAAGUCAUAUGUUUACCAUUAUGAAUAAAGAAGAAUUUCCUUAGUCAAGUCAAGUUUUACUCUGCACAGAAAACUAUCAAAAUCAUUCUCCAAUGGGCAUGCAAAAAGGAUUCUGCAACGCCCAAUGGAGAUCAAAGGCAACCAUUUCUUUUUUUGUCUGUUUGACUUCUGUAGGUUGCUAAUUGGGAAUGAACCUUCCUAUGCUUUCUUGAGCAAAUCAAGGUGUCUUCCGCUGUUGGAUUACUUGAUGGGCGGCAUUGGUAAAGAGUUUAGAUGCUGUUAGAGAAUCAUCUUGUGGUCCAUUGAAAAAUACAGCAGUGAAGGGAGACCUUUGUACACAAGUAUAGAAAGCUAUUCGACUUAUUCUCGGAAUGGAGUAAGGGAGGUAGCAAUAAAGGCUUGCGUUUCACUACUUCUUUCUUAAUAAAGUUUGCACUUUAUCCAACUUAAAUUUAUUGAAAUGACACGAGAAACUGCCCAAAUGUACACUUCAUUCCACUAUUUCCUAGAAGUACAAUUCUGUUUUUCUAAUGUGAAACUCAAAACAUCUAGGCAUCAUAAAACUAUUAGAGGUCAGUAUCUGGCACAACAAACUGCAACCAUUUCGAGAUAAGUAUUUCAUCAAUUGUUUAGGCUUAGACUUUUUGUAGAAAUUGAAUAAUUCAAAAUACAAUGUUGGUUAUUUCAUUCUUUGUAAUAAAGCAAUGGUAUUUUCCCUAAAAGGAAGUCAUGGAUGCACGUCUAAAUUAUGUUUUAAUUAGAAUUGGCAAAAAUCCAAAAUUAGACAAUAUACGCGACCGUAUUUGCCGAAAUAGACAACAUAUCAUCGUAUUUACAAUUUUAGCAUCCAUAUUCGACACCUCAUUUACCGAAAAUUGACUUUCGGUACACUGUACACUGAAAAAAUGCGGGCCCGGCCAUAUUUGGCACACGCGUCUGCUUUUGUCGUGUCGCUGUCGCUUCGAUGUUUACUUUCUGCGCAAAUGGCUGGUAUGCAUGCAUGUUGCUUUACUUUUUGCGUGUGGGUGCGUCGUUUUGCUGCUUUCGGUGCGUCGCGUUGCCUGCAGCUCGCUACAAAAUGAGCAGUGAGGAGGAGCAGCAGAGGUGAGCAGCGGAGCGCAAGGCGAGGAGCUGCAACGCAGCGCGAGGCAAGGAGUAGCAGUGCAGCGCGAGGCAAGUAGCAGUGCAGCGCGAGGAGAGGAGGAGCAGCAGCGCGAGGAGAUGAGCAGCAGCAUCGCAAGGAGAGGAGGAGCAGCAACGUGAGGAGAGGAGGAGCAGCAGCGCGAGAUCAGUUAUAGUGUUCCCGGAAGACGCUGAGUUGAUCAACAAAGAAAUUUCAAACUUCUUGGUGAUGUAUAUGCUCUUCUGCGGGGGUGUGAUGCCUGGUUCGCAUAGAAGACGACGGAGAUUAGCGAACCUAAGGGGUAUAAGGGUUCCCUCUACUAUUCAACCAGAAAAUGAUGAGGCUGAUGAGGACGAUGAUUUCAUGCCACCAAUGCCUUAAUGUUCCAGCAAUAAUACAGGAGAAGGUUCAAGGAACACUGCAUGGACUGGCACAACUGGUAUUCUUUCACAAGUUUACGUCGUCACUUUUCAUCGCCAUCUUGAGAUGAUCUAGAUAGUCAACAGCUAUGCACUAUGCAUCUUGAGAUCAAUGAUACAAGGGAGAAUAUUGAACUACUACAUUUUAAGGAUGCUUACAGCCUUUGAGACUACAUGGUGAAUUAAGAAUUUUCAAAUGUACAUUUAAAUUAGCAAAUAAUUUCUAAUUUUAUCGAUACUUGGCAAUUUCUAACAUUAAUGUGCUUAGGCUCAAACCAUGACAUAUGUUUAUAUCUAUGUUUUGACUCAGCCUUUAGAUAAGAAGUGACUAGAGCUUUAAGCAUAAAAUGCAACACCUCUAUCAUGACUCUAUAUGUUUAGACACGAAGUGACCACAUAACAGAGCUUCAAACAUGAAAUGGCAACACGCCUCUUUCUGUCUCUGUCGGCGGACGUUACGUGACGCAGCCGGUCCCGGUAUAAAAUAACAAACACUAAGUGUUAUGUGAUGUAGCAUUUCCCGGCAUAAAAUAACAAUAUCAAAGGGGCGGCAACCGGGGCCAGGCCAUAUUCGGCAUAUGAGGUGCCGAAUAUGGCACUGUAGCCCAUAUUCGGUGCCGAAUACAAUUAAUAUUCGGCACAUGAGGUGCUGAAUAUGGGCUACAGUGCCAUAUUUGGCACCUCGUGUGCCGAUUAUGGCUGGGCCCACGUUUUUUCGGCGUACAGUGUACCGAAAGUCAAUUUUCGGUAAAUGAGGUGCCGGAUAUGGAUGCUAAAAUUGUAAAUACGACGAUAUGUUGUCUAUUUCGGCAAAUAUGAUCGCGUAUGUUGUCUAAUUUUGGAUUUUUGCCGUUAGAAUUUGACAUUCCUGUUACAUGACUGCCUGUAUCUCCUUCAAUGCAAGCAAUUCAACUAUGAUAUCAACUGGUUACUAUGUUUCAAUUAUUUUUCUCAUGAACACCGGUCUAUCUUUCAUUGUUAGAAACAAUAAAAGAGUAGAGGCUUGUGAAGUAUUGAUCAUUCAGGGGGCAGUUUCCCUUGCAGGAAUGACGAGAACAAGGUGAGCGCCCUUUGGGGUUGGUAGGUAGGAACCACAUGUCCAACUCCUCUGACUGUUGCAAAUACCAGGCCUUUGUACCGAACAACAUAGCCUCCAACCUGCCAUCUCAUAAAGAAACAAAACUGUUUUCAGAACCCUCCAUGACAACAAAUGGUUAGACUAUAUCGUUUUAUGCUUUUGCGCCUAUACCUCACCAUCAUCAGAAUACCAUGGCCGCCAUGAUCUGCAGCCCUAGAAUGUCUAAAGAAUAUAGUGUUGAAGUUACUGGGCACACAGCAUCGAUGUCACCAACAACAACAACAACAACAACAACAAAGCCUUUCAGUCCCAAACAAGUUGGGGUAGGCUAGAGAUGAAACCCAUCAUCGAUGUCACCACUAAAAGUUAAAAUGAAUUGUUUCUUUGUAGGGUGGUCUAGACAGACAUAGAGAUUAUAUAAACUUUAGGGGGUGUUUGAAUAAAGGGGUUGUUUGAAUAAAGGGGUUGCUCUAGUAUUUUUCUUUCUGGAUUUUACUGAAAUUUGAACCAAAUCCUAAGGAUUGGAUCCAAAUGGCCCAUAUCCGAACAGGCCCUUAGUAAUGCAUGUGCUUACUCCACUUGAAAUCAAUUUCUGAAUAGAUGGUAGCAUACAGACUUGUGCAUCUUUCCAUUUUUCAGGAGAAAUGAUAUGACUGGUGCUCAAAAAGCAUACAAAACUUGGUUAACCUAUCAGAAGGCUAAAUGGAACAUGGUUAACCUAUCAACUAAAUUUAUUAUGAAAUAGUUGAAAGAGCAUGGGGUAUGUUCCUUUCACCUGCAAUCCGACCAUGGCUACUUCAAUCCUGUGGUGUUAGCAUGAAGUGCUCUCUGCACCUCUGGGCUGUUUGUUGGUUACCUGCAACACCAUACCAUGAGUUGGGGAGAAGUAGAACUUGGUUAAAAUCUGGGAGAGCAUUUUACCGAGGCAUGCUGCUGUUGGGAAUCAGAAGCAUUCCAGCAGAAGGAUGCAUAGAUGUUGUAUUGAUCGAUGAGGCCCUUCUCAUUGUUAGCUGCUUCUAUCGCAGUUCUACAGCGUCCCGUGUAUGUUCCAUUAAAGCUGCAAUUUUCCUGAACUGCCUUGCGAGUUUCUUUGGCGAUCAUAGCAUGCUUCCAGUAGUAAUCAAUGAUUGCUCUUGUGUUUGUGUCAUCAUCCAGGUAUGCAUUCCUGAUCUAUUCCCAACAAGUGAAUUCUAUAAUAUAAUAUGUAUAUAUAUUUUGAGUCAAUAUCAUUGGAAGCAUUACUAACUGUUAUUGUCCCAUUACUUACAGCAACUCCUUUGAGAUUGAUCAUAGUGAUAUUCAUGAUUUUGUUAUUUGACAGAGUUGUGUUGGCAAGCUGUGGUAUGUAGUGGCCGCCGUAGCUUUCACCAGUUAUAAAGAAGUUGUGGUCCUUGUACUAUGGGAACCUCUCAAACCAAUUGAUGAGGAAAGUAUACGCAUCUGCCGCGGUGCUCCUGUCACCAGUGUUAUUGUAAUCUGAUGUUCUGUUCGAGUAUAAGAAGCCAACACCAGCAGGGCUCUCAAGGAAGAGCAUGUUUGCCACUGCCAUCCGGAAAUUACAAGUCAGCACGGAGGUAUUAUGAAUGUAACUGGCAUAUGUAACCUUGUGGAAAUCUGCUUACCAUUGUUCCAGGCGUAGUUGUUUGUGGACAGUGUUUUGUUAUCUCCGUUGACGAAGAAUGGUCCAAUUUCAAGCAUAGCUCCUCCCAGAGAAGAACAACCAGGCCCUAAAAUUUCAAGAUGGAAACGGCAUAAUAGUGAGUUCUGGAGAGUCUUCAAUUCAAAAUCUGUUGUGCAGCGUCAAGGAUUGGUGUGCUCAACAAAUUACCUACUUUGAGCGUAAUAUUAGGAUUUGCGAAGCAGACCAUCAUGACUGAAACUUUAUAUGGUUCACGUCAGUAGACCCACACACAACAAAAACCCGACUGGAAUCUGAAUUGUUGAAGGGCAGAUCAAUCAGCAAGUAAUUGGCUUUGCAUCAACAUCAGGUAUCUUGUUCUCUUCUCCUUUUCUUUGCACCGUUCUGGGUUCACAGAUUCGAAGAGAUAUCCAUUAAAGUGUAGCAUAUAGGAUGGAAGAUGCUCUAUGCAGUGUAACUCGAAUAAUAUUUACAGCUUCCUUAUCCAAUGCAACCAGUAGGGCCAGAUUUGUUCCAGGGCCAACAUUUGAGCGGGCACUACAACAACAUAAUGCAACUGUAGAUGCUUACGAACAGCUUUCACUCAAUCAAAUUAUGUUGUUAGCUUCUUUACACGGUAGUAAUUAGUAUUUAGGCUUGUGUUUGUUAUGAGGUUACGACAACCAGCUUAGCUAACCUUAACCCAGCAAGGUUAGCUUAACCCAUAUUUUAUAUUUUGGCUACUAACCUAGUUAAGCUAAUCAUUUUGUCUAGAUUAGGUAGGUCAGCUUGGUUACCAGUAGAAAAAAGUGGUGGGUUAGCAUAUCGUAAUCCUUUUUUUUAGCGGAAAAUGAGGGGAAAAACGGUAAGGGAAGCCCUACCAAUGGUAAUAUUAUUACUAAUAAAAAAAAAGAAAGGAGAACUGAACAAACAAGGAAAAAAGAAAAAACACAGACCUGUACAAGGAAAGAAACACAGAAAAACACAGGGAAAGAAAGGGAGAGGGGG